GGGAACUGCUGAAUCAUGGCCUGAACCUCUGAUCACCUGAGGCGAGCCAUGAGUCAGCCAGAGGAGUACAGGUGAAGGCAAUUCACCUGUGCUGCUGGAAGGGGUGGAGCCUGGCUGCACCCCUCCUAGACCUAUUUAAGAGCUGGCUGCCAGUGGGGGAGGAUCUCUUCUGGAGAUCCCUUCUCCUGGUGCUUUCUGUAGGAAAGCUUGGCCAGCGUAUCUGAGCACAACCUGCCUUGCCAGUGGGUGCAAUUUCUGGGAGACCCAGAGAAAGCUCUGCCUUCAUUACCAGAAACAGAGCACCAGCAAUAUGGGGCUCAAGCCCAGCACAGACUUCAACACUGAGGGGAGAAGGCAUCAACUUUUCCAUGUUGAAGGAACUCAACGAAACUCCCUGGCAAGACUCUCUUAUGGCUACCCUCAAGGGGAAAAAACUGCAAAGAAAAAAUGAAGAUAGUGGUAGCAAAAACAAGCUGAAACUGAAAGAACAUAAAAGACAUACUGCUUCAUGAACUUGCAGGCGAAACUUUAAAUGAAGAAAACAAAUCAGGCUGGAAACUCCACAAAACAAAAAAGUUCUUACCAGGUUUUCACUCAUGCUUGUAAUAAAUAUAUGACAGUGUAACAGCUGAACUUAGUCUCUGGUACUUUAAUAACUUUUGAUGCUUUUUGACCUUGAGGGAAAGGCAUGGGAACUUGAAUACCAAUGGGAUCAGUGUGCCUGUUUGAAGUUAUGCUGUGGAUGCUGCCAAUACCCCUGCUUAAAGAGGCAUUUUUCCAGAAGUGACUGAGAAAGAGAAUGAGCUUGCAUUGAGCUCUCACUAAUGGACUGCAAAACUUUAAUCUUGAGGAGGAAAUUCCUUCAAU